GGGGAGGGGAGCGUGUGGGUCUGGGUGAGUGUGUGAGUGUGCAAGCUGCCACGCCAGAGAGAGCUGUAAGGCUCAAAGUACGCCGGGAGCCAGUAGCCACAGCACAGGGGCGACUCCUCUUCCCGGGGCAUGCCCUCCAGCUCGUACCGGGAUAUGCCAGGUGGCUUCCUGUUUGAAGGGCUCUCUGAUGAUGAGGAUGACUUUCACCCAGUUGGGGAGGUUCCCCAAGAACUGUUCCUGGAACGGGGGUGGGCUUCAUCUGAGAACGUCACAGGCUGCUUCCCUGAUGCUUGGUGCCUCUCUUGUUCAGAGCGCCAGGUCCACGCCCUCGAGCAGCACACCCGGCUCCCGCCCAGCUUCCCUGGGGUACAGUGGAGCUGCCGGGCCCCGGCCUAUCACCCAGAGCGAGCUGGCCACCGCCCUGGCCCUGGCCAGCACUCCGGAGAGCAGCUCUCACAUGCCAACUCCUGGCACCCAGGGCCAUUCCUCAGGGACCUCCCCGGUGUCAUCCGGCGUCCAGUCAGGGACGCCCAUCACCAAUGAUCUCUUCAGCCAAGCUCUCCAGCAUGCGCUGCAGGCCUCCGGGCAGCCCAGCCUUCAGAUGGAAACUUUAAUCUUCAGGAAAGAAUGCAGAGCAUCGGAAAUGUUAUUGAGGACUCUUCCCUGGUGGCGCAGUGGUUGAGAAUCUGCCUGCCAAUGCAGGGGACACAGGUCUAUCCCGGAUCCGGGAAAAUCCCCCUUGCCGAGGAGCAGUUAAGCCCCUGUGCCACAACUACUGAGCCUGCGCUCUAGAGCCUGCGAGUCACAACUACAGAGCCCACGUGCUGCAACCACUGAAACCCGCGCGCCUAGAGCCUGUGCUCCGCAACAAGAGAAGCCACUGCAGUAAGAAGCCCGCGCACUGCAGCGAAGAGUAGCCCCCGCUCGCCGCAACUAGAGAAAGCCGGCGCGCAGCAACGAAGACCCAAUGCAGCCAAAAGUAAAAUAUAAAUAUAAAUAAAUAAAUAAAUUUACUGAGAUUUU